GAGAGAACACCUGCUGGCCCCACAGCCUUAGAUUAGAGGCAUUUCUAUUUUUCCCCCGGUCCCAGAAGCCUGUAUUUCACAUUUGAAGACAACUACUGGUGAGAAAUCAAUGCUCCUACCUCAGGGAGGUGAGAUGAGAAGCAAGAAGAGAAGAGGAGGAGCCAUCUCUCUUCCCUAUCCUCAGCGGUGGGGUACAGCGACAGGGAUACACUCUGCACAUGGAACACACUGAGGGAAAUGUUCAUUGCAGAACCCAGAUGCCAACGUGGAGAAGAGACGGAGUGCUUCCAGCAGCUGCAUCUGGCUGUUUGGCACGCUCUCUGCACGGUGGUGCUUGUCCUGCCCCCCCCCCCUUCACCCCCAAUCUGCAUUUCCACAGCUAUGCCAGUUACCUGCUAACUUCAUUUCAGCUUCCCUUAUGACACACAGCUUGCUACAUAUGUAAAGUUACUGCCAUAGUUUCUGUUUUCAAACUUCUGUGGACCAUUCUAAAGGAAGCCAUAUCAAGACCCUUUCAGCUACCAAGACCUAAAGAAAAAAGAAGAGAAGAGAAGAGAAGAGAAGAGAAGAGAAGAGAAGAGAAGAGAAGAGUAUUC
rnacentral:lncRNA from 1 species